rnacentral:rRNA from 1 species
GCAUGUCUAAGUAUAAGCACUUUAUACUGUGAAACUGCGAAUGGCUCAUUAAAUCAGUUAUCGUUUAUUUGAUAGUACCUUACUACAUGGAUACCUGUGGUAAUUCUAGAGCUAAUACAUGCUACAAACCCCGACUUCAGGAAGGGGUGUAUUUAUUAGAUAAAAAACCAACGCCCUUCGGGGCUCCUUGGUGAAUCAUAAUAACUUAACGAAUCGCAUGGCCUUGCGCCGGCGAUGGUUCAUUCAAAUUUCUGCCCUAUCAACUUUCGAUGGUAGGAUAGUGGCCUACCAUGGUGGCAACGGGUAACGGGGAAUUAGGGUUCGAUUCCGGAGAGGGAGCCUGAGAAACGGCUACCACAUCCAAGGAAGGCAGCAGGCGCGCAAAUUACCCAAUCCCGAUACGGGGAGGUAGUGACAAUAAAUACUGAUACGGGGCUCUUUCGGGUCUCGUAAUUGGAAUGAGAACAAUUUAAAUCCCUUAACGAGGAACAAUUGGAGGGCAAGUCUGGUGCCAGCAGCCGCGGUAAUUCCAGCUCCAAUAGCGUAUAUUAAAGUUGUUGCAGUUAAAAAGCUCGUAGUUGAACCUUGGGCCUGGCUGGCCGGUCCGCCUCACCGCGAGUACUGGUCCGGCUGGGCCUUUCCUUCUGGGGAACCUCAUGGCCUUCACUGGCUGUGGGGGGAACCAGGACUUUUACUGUGAAAAAAUUAGAGUGUUCAAAGCAGGCCUUUGCUCGAAUACAUUAGCAUGGAAUAAUAGAAUAGGACGUGCGGUUCUAUUUUGUUGGUUUCUAGGACCGCCGUAAUGAUUAAUAGGGAUAGUCGGGGGCGUCAGUAUUCAGCUGUCAGAGGUGAAAUUCUUGGAUUUGCUGAAGACUAACUACUGCGAAAGCAUUCGCCAAGGAUGUUUUCAUUAAUCAGGGAACGAAAGUUAGGGGAUCGAAGACGAUCAGAUACCGUCGUAGUCUUAACCAUAAACUAUGCCGACUAGGGAUCGGACGGGAUUCUAUGAUGACCCGUUCGGCACCUUACGAGAAAUCAAANUUUUUNGGNUUNNUGGGGG